rnacentral:rRNA from 1 species
AGUCCUACGGGACGCAGCAGUGAGGAAUAUUGGUCAAUGGGCGGGAGCCUGAACCAGCCAAGCCGCGUGAGGGAAGAAGGUACAGCGUAUCGUAAACCUCUUUUGUCAGGGAACAAAGGCGGGGACUAGUCCCCGGAUGAGGGUACCUGAAGAAAAAGCAUCGGCUAACUCCGUGCCAGCAGCCGCGGUAAUACGGAGGAUGCGAGCGUUAUCCGGAUUUAUUGGGGUUAAAGGGUGCGCCGGCGGCCUGUUAAGUCAGCGGUAAAAGCACGGGGCUCAACACCGGCGAGCCGUCGAAACUGGCG